GUGGCACUCCUUUGGCACUGUUGCUGCACUGCUCCAGGAGAUUGUGUCAAUUUACCCUUCACUUUCACCUCCUACUUUGUCGCCAGUUGCAUCAAACCGUGUCUGCAAUGCACUUGCACUUCUUCAGUGUGUUGCUUCACACCCUGAGACCAGGAUCCCGUUCUUGAAUGCUCACAUCCCACUGUACCUGUACCCGUUCCUGAAUACUACCAGCAAG